AGCGAACGCUGGCGGCAGGCUUAACACAUGCAAGUCGAGCGGGCCCUUCGGGCUUAGCGGCAGACGGGGGGGUGACACGUGGGAACGUACCCUUGGGUUCGGAAUAACGCUGGGAAACAAGCGCUAAUACCGGAUACGCCCUUUUGGGGAAAGGCUUGCUGCCGAAGGGUGGGCCCGGGACUGAUUAGCGGGUUGGGGGGGUAAUGGCCUACAAAGGGGACGAUCGGUAGCUGGUCUGAGAGGAUGAUCACCCACACUGGGACUGAGACACGGCCCAGACUCCUACGGGAGGCGGCAGUGGGGAAUAUUGGACAGCGGGCGCAAGCCUGAUCCAGCCCUGCCGCGUGAGUGAUGAAGGCCUUAGGGUUGUAAAGCUCUUUUGUCCGGGACGAUAAUGACGGUACCGGAAGAAUAAGCCCCGGCUAACUUCGUG
rnacentral:rRNA from 1 species